CAUUAGGCUGCUAAAAGUUAGCUUAGGUCUCUUAAACCUAAUUAUAAUAGUUUCACGUCUAUUCUUAAUG
rnacentral:tRNA from 1 species